rnacentral:snRNA from 1 species
CAGAUUAACAUGGCCCCUGCACAAGGAUGACAUGUAAAGUCACGAAGCUUUCCACAUUUUU